rnacentral:misc_RNA from 1 species
GAUGAAGAACGUAGCGAAAUGCGAUAAGUAAUGUGAAUUGCAGAAUUCAGUGAAUCAUCGAAUCUUUGAACGCACCUUGCGCUCCUUGGCAUUCCGGGGAGCAUGCCUGUUUGAGUGUCAUUAAAUUCUCAAGACCUGUCUGCUUUUUUGAUAGGUAUUGGAUUUUGGGGGUUGCAGGCUGUUUCAAAUAAAUAGCCUUGCUCUCCUUGAAUGUAUUAGUGGAGAAAAGCCAUUGAACUCCAUUGGUGUGAUAAAACCUAUCAAUGCCAGGAGCAAUAUCACUACUUCUCUCUGCUGUCUAACUGUGACUGUCUGUAUUAAUUAGUAUGGAUGGGGACAACUUGACCAACUUGACCUCAAAUCAGGUAGGACUACCCGCUGAACUUAAGCAUAUCAAUAAGCGGAGGA